UGUGGGAGGGGGCUUGCUCCCGAUAGCGCAAUGUCAGCCAGCUCACUUUUCACUGAUAUACCGCUAUCGGGAGCAAGCCCCCUCCCACA
rnacentral:misc_RNA from 1 species